CGAGGUGGAAGCAUGGUGAUAUGUGGAGCUGACGAAUACUAAUAGAUCGAGGACUUAACCAUA
rnacentral:rRNA from 1 species